CAAGCACCCUGAUCUGAAACAAGGAAGUGUGUUACUCUCACAGGGUGUUUCUCCCACAGUGUGGACGAACGUUGUGGCUUCAAGGAGGCAGCGAACUCAAACAUGUCAGGACGGCGCACAUCUAGCAGGCUGAAAGCCCUUAGACGAUCCCUCGAAGUCCCCAGAAAAGACCCCGGCAAAACCGACUCCAUACUCGCGCCCUGAGAGGAAAUGCGUAUCAAAAGAUCCUGAAGGAAAGACCAAAAAGAAACCAAGUGACACAAAACAUCAGAAGACCUCGAACUCGACUAAAGGCAAAGGUAAACAGUCCAUCAAAAAAUCUUGUGAUGUACCACCUAUUCAACCAAUCACUGUGCCAGAAAGACCCGAACUUGUAGAAAUUAUUGAAAAUACUCCAGGAUGCCGAUCCGGUAGCCAGUUAAUGUUGGAUAUCUUGGUGAUGACACUCGAGGGGGCUACUGCUAUACUGACGUCUGACAGAGACAACAAAUCUGUGAACGCUUUGUACAGGGAAGGGGGUGAGGAGAGGACGAGUAUACUCCCCACGAGUCAAUGUCUGACGAACUUCACUAUCAUCGAGGACAACCUGGUGGCUGCUGGUAUGUACAAACAACCUUAACGAGAGCAUUCUAUACACACAGGAAAAGGUGUAUGGUGCCAUUUCAAAAUAGUAUUUUUCAAAGUAUUCCCAGAUCUGGAUCUACAGCGCACUAUUGACACAAAAAUGCGAUACAGCUCUAUUGCAUUCCUGUCUCCAGGAACAUUGGUUGGAAGUCAUGUCCUGGGAAAUUGUGGAGUGGAUGUAAUUGAUAUGUCUGGGAAUAUUCUCAGGACAUUUGACAGAAGCCACCUAAGUGAACCGUACAGCGUGUGCACCUACAACGGCAACUGUAUAGUGGGAGAUGUAAAGAAUCACGCGAUAAUGUGUUUCAACGACAUGGGGAAUAUGCUGUUUAAGUUCAAACCUAGAGUCGACAAGAAGUUUAUUGGACUGUUGACAGUGAGGGCUCACGGGGGCUUCAUCUAUGCUUCUGACAGAGAGGGCCACAGAGUAGUUCAGCUGACUGUAGAUGGGAAGUUUGUGAGAGAUGUCCUCACCAGAGACGAUGGAAUCGUGAAGCCACAAGGUAUCUGUAUCACUGAUGAAAACCUCCUCUAUGUAUCAGUGUACAACAGUUACAUCAGAGUGUAUCGUAUUGGAUGACAGUGUGCUUGCAUAUGUUCACAUGAACAAGACGCCCAUUGAGAUACACAGUAGGAUCGGUUUGUACCGUGUUCCUUAACAUUGUGCUUGCAUGAAUCAGGUUUACAUGUAGGGAGGCAAUGUAUUAGAAUAUUACUGACUCGAGGACUACACGUUGUUAGAUGCGCAACGAAUGUUGGAAGGAACAUUCAGAAGAGGCCUUAAGCAGGUUCAGAAACAGUCCUUUCUAUUUGUCUAAAAACUAUGAUUUUACAUAUUUUUCCAUAUAGACAUAAUGUCACUGGACUACAGUGUUGUCGCUUUUAGAUAAUAAAUGUAUCUCUAUUUGGCCGCAAAA